rnacentral:tRNA from 2 species
GUUUCCAUAGUUAAGUUAUAACGGUGGUUUUUCAAGUCAUUGUCCUUGGUUAAAGUCCGAGUGGAAACU